AGGUAGUGAUCUGACCGGGUGUUGGUCUGUGACUGUUAAUCACAAGAUGGGAGGUUCGAGUCCUCUACUACCUGCCA
rnacentral:tRNA from 1 species